GGCGUCGUGGCUUAGCUGGUUAAAGCGUCUGUCUUGUAAACAGGAGGUCAUGAGUUUGAAUCUCGUUGGUGCCU